rfam:Salmo salar isolate Sally breed double haploid chromosome ssa23, whole genome shotgun sequence.
CCUAAUUACUCCUGUAUGUCGCUCUGGAUAAGAGCAUCUGCUAAAUGUAAUAAU